UACGGAGGGUGCGAGCGUUGUCCGGAAUCACUGGGCGUAAAGGGCGCGUAGGCGGCUGGGGAAGUCCGUGGUGAAAGCUCGUGGCUCAACUACGAGUCGGCCAUGGAUACUCCUGAGCUUGAGUCGACUAGAGGCUAAUGGAAUUCCGGGUGUAGCGGUGGAAUGCGUAGAGAUCCGGAAGAACACCGGUGGCGAAGGCGGUUAGCUGGGGUCGAACUGACGCUGAGGCGCGACAGCGUGGGGAGCAAACAGG
rnacentral:rRNA from 1 species